GAUGAACGCUAGCUACAGGCUUAACACAUGCAAGUCGAGGGGAAACGACAUCGAAAGCUUGCUUUUGAUGGGCGUCGACCGGCGCACGGGUGAGUAACGCGUAUCCAACCUGCCCAUCACUUGGGAAUAACCUUGCGAAAGUAAGACUAAUACCUAAUGAUAUCCCACGAAGGCAUCGGAAUGGGAUUAAAGAUUUAUCGGUGAUGGAUGGGGAUGCGUUUGAUUAGCUUGUUGGUGAGGUAACGGCCAACCAAGGCAACGAUGCGGAGGGGAUCUGAGAGGAAGGCACCCCGGAUUGGAGCCACGGCCCAGACUAAACUCCGACGCAGGGCAGCGGUAUGUAAUAUUAGUGAAUGAAGGAUGACCUAGCCCAGCCACGUGGCUGACGGAGGGACGCGCCUAGGGAAUGUAAACUGCUUUGAUAGAAGAAUAGAGUGGGUAACGUGUGACUUUUUGACGGUACCUUAUGAAUAAGCACCGGCUAAUUCCGUG
rnacentral:rRNA from 1 species